UAAUUAAUUAUUUAUUGGGUGAAGAUGGAUCCAUUUGCUUAUGUGUAAUGCUGAAGUAAAUAUUUGUAGGAAUAAGUUAAGUGAAAUUGAAUUAUCACUAUCCUAUUUGAUUAUCAGAAAUUUUUUUGGUGCCCUAGGUUACGGUCGCUGUGGUCUGCCCGCAGCUGCCUAGUCACACGACCGCGGUCGUGGUUGCCAUCGGUAACUCGAAUUGCCUCCCCAUGCCGUCGUCCAGGAGGCUCAUUCUGGCUUGAGUUUCAGAAGAAGGAGAAGAGGCUUCGACCACCAACGAGUAAGACAUUUUGCUAGUGCCUUUACGUCUCAGGCGACGCGCCGAAGUGCCGACUGUUGAACCAGCAAGCACUGCCCACAACCUCUGCUCGUCCAAGAGCCGCCGCUUGCAACUGUUUCGCCUCCGGAGAUUUUCGUCGCCGCACGCCAGAAGGAGAGUACCAUCGCCUGCAACUGUUUCGCUUCAGGAUUGUUGGAUCGUUGGAUUUGCAAGACGAGGAAUUCUUGUGUGACCAAGCGUGGGGUAUCGUUUGAAGAGGUGUUGCUCUAGUCUAUUGAAGGAGUGUGUAUGGUUUGUUCCACCCAGAAAGGAACGGUAUAGUGGAAUCCUUAGGUGAUUUGCCUAAGGCGAUGACAUAGGCUGGGGAUAAGUCAACCCUCAUAAAAAUCUCGUCUCACUUUCUUCCCUACUCUCAUUUAAAUUCUAGCAUAUAUUAAUUGUGUGGUUGAAUUUUAAUUUUUGAUCAUAUAUACUAUGUGGAUUGGAAAUUAAAUAAA